UGUUCGUUACGCAAACUAAACAUGAAUGCGAAAGCAACCACAAUAAAAGAAGCCCUCAAACGUCUAGAGGAUCGCUCUAAAACCAAUCCCUGUGAUGAGAAGGAGAUAGAUUUGUGCUUCCAGUGGCCACCGAUUGAGAAAUUGGACACCACACUUUCCACUUUGGUUGCAUGCGAGAAGCUGUCCCUCUCAACAAACAUGAUCGACAAAAUCUUCGGCCUCAGUGGGAUGAAAAACUUGCGCGUCCUUUCGCUGGGAAGAAACUACAUCAAAGCCAUAUCCGGUCUUGAGGGAGUCAGCGACACCCUGGAGGAGCUGUGGGUCAGCUAUAAUCUAAUCGAAAAGCUAAAGGGCAUAAAUGUGCUGAAGCGGCUGAAGGUUCUGUACAUGAGCAACAAUCUGGUGAAGGACUGGGUUGAGUUUAAUCGUCUGGCAGAUCUGCCGAUGCUGGAGGAUUUACUUUUCGCCGGCAAUCCGCUCGUCGAGUCAAUGGAGGAAAGCGUAUGGCGGACGGAAGCUAGCAAACGAUUACUAUCGCUUAGAAAGCUAGACGGAGAGACGGUUAUACGCGAGGAAACCGAGAACCAGCCGCAGCUGGCACCCGGAGCUCCAGAUAAGGCAAUUUCCGGAUAAAUAUUUAACUUGAUUUUUAGUGAAAAUAUAUUUUAGGAUGCAAACUAAGCCGUUCUGUUCAGUAAAAUCUGAAAAUUUUCCGUCACCAGAUAAUCGUCGCCAAAAACAACCACUAAGUUCACCUCAAAUUCUAAAAUUUAAACAAAUUAUUACUCUCGAUGGUUCUACGACAUCAAUGCUUAUUAGAGACACAUGAAUCAUCGCUUCUUACUGAGAGACAUGAUCCACCGAACAUAGAUAUAAGUUUUGAUUUCUAAGAGAUAAGGAACAAUCACACCUCAACGAAUAGUAUUAAGAAUUGAUAUUUACUCAUACAGAGAAGAACUUUAAUUGUUAUUGUUAGCCGUAGGUUUAAAUGAUUUGUAUUAUUAAAUUAUAUUUAUGAAAGAGAAAAGAUGAGAGGGUUUUUACGCCUGUUUGAGGAGGAACAGUCGGGAUACAGACUCUACUCAAGCUGGCUUCUCCCUACUC